rfam:Loxodonta africana unplaced genomic scaffold scaffold_143, whole genome shotgun sequence.
GCGGGAAUAGCUCGGUCGGGAGAGCGUUAGACUGAAGAUCUAAAGGUCCCUGGAGCAAUCUCCGGUUUUAGCA